rnacentral:lncRNA from 1 species
ACCCGAAACCGCUUACAGAUAUGAAGACAUUGGUUGUGUUGGGGCCCUGACACCACCUGCCCCACAGUCAGUUUAGAAGUUCAGAAUGACAGGCCCUGGCGAUUGAAGAGAUUUCCAAGGAUUUUCCAUCAUUCCGUUUUAGUUUUCCAGACUCUUGGUGCAGGGAAAAAUUUCACUAUAUGCUUCUUUAAUGUGGGUGUCUUCCAAACCCUGUCAGCAGUCUACAUAUCCCCAGGCUUCGUCCCUCAUUAGGCUCCAAGGACACUGGGAGAAAGCUUGGAACACAGAGACCUGGCUGUGGAGGCUGAAAGAAGCUGAGGAGAAGGGCGAUCCUGUAGGAGGACCAGCAGUCUCAAUUAAUCUGGACUCCCGAGAUCUCUCAAACACUGGACCACCAAACAGGCAGCAUACACCAGCUGAUAUGAGGCCCCCAAGACACAUACAGCAGAGGAUUGCCAGCUUCCUCCUGAUGAACUGUGCCUGCCUGUGGCUCUUCUGAAGUCCAUCAACAUCUGCAUCAAAGUUUGAAAAUGCAACUGCUUUUAGGUAAUUUGAUAAAUCGUCUGAAGGCAUUUUCAUAUGUGUGUACUCUGCUUCUGCAUUCUAUUUCUAAGAUCCUUUAGGGGAAAAUCUAUAUCUUUUUUUUUCCCUUUAUAACCGUCUCUGCACGAUUCUUAGGACAGUGUUUUCAUCAGCGUGCUUAUUGUCUGAACACGCUCUUUCUUUGUAGGCUGAGAACCCUUGGAGGCUGACUUUAUUUCAUUCAUUAAUUUAUUUAAAAUAUUUACUGAGGCCUAUUAUGUGGCAGGCACUGGCUAAGUGCUCAGGGUUCAGUGUUGAAACUCACAGUCUGGGGCAAAGAAGGAAACAUACACAAAUAACUGUAAUACAAUGUGAUAAGUGCUGUAAUAUAGGUACCGUGAGCUCGGAGUGCUCUGGAAACCCAGGAGGGAGCUUAUGAAAUAAUUUCCUUACUGUUCCAAUGUCUAAAUAUGAAUGUUUAAGUAAACACCUUUCCUUU